UACGGGGGGAGCAAGCGUUGUUCGGAUUUACUGGGCGUAAAGGGCGCGUAGGCGGCCACCGCAAGUCGACUGUGAAAAUCUCCGGGCUUAACCCCGGAAAGGUCAGCCGAUACUGCGGGGCUAGAGUGCAGAAGGGGCAACUGGAAUUCUCGGUGUAGCGGUGAAAUGCGUAGAUAUCGAGAGGAACACCUGCGGCGAAGGCGGGUUGCUGGGCUGACACUGACGCUGAUGCGCGAAAGCUAGGGGAGCGAACGGG
rnacentral:rRNA from 1 species